GAUGAAGAACGCAGCGAAAUGCGAUAAGUAAUGCGAAUUGCAGAAUUCAGUGAGUCAUCGAAUCUUUGAACGCACAUUGCGCCCCUUGGUAUUCCGAGGGGCAUGCCUGUUCGAGCGUCAUUUCAACCCUCAAGCUCUGCUUGGUCUUGGGCCUGGCCGUGAUGGCCGGUCUUAAAAUCAGUGGCGGUGCCGUCGCAGGCUCCAAGCGUAGUACAUCUCUCGCUCUGGAAACUUGGCGGUGCCUGCCAGACAACCCCUAAUUGUCUCUUUCGGUUGACCUCGGAUCAGGUAGGGAUACCCGCUGAACUUAAGCAUAUCAAUAAGCGGAGGA
rnacentral:misc_RNA from 1 species